UCUCAUUCUAGCUUACUGCACUAGUUCACCAGUGCAGCAAUAGAAAACAAGCCUAAAAUUGCAUGGCUGCAUGUGCAUAGCAUGAAAGCCGUUUAAACCAAUGAACAUCGAGCAUUGAGUCGCCAUAUUGAUUUACAUAACAUGCUCAUUGGUCCAGACGGUCUUGUGCUAUGCAUAUGCAACUAUGCAAUUUUGUGUGCGAUGGCCCUAUAACUAGCGUGACCACUCUCUGGCCGGUAUUCGCAAUCCAUUCUUAUAUUUAAGCUCAUCUUCAGUAUACUCGUAAUGUGUUUUAACCAAUCACAGAGCUGUGUUAGCCUCUUAAGACAACACUUAAGUUGAUUUUGAAAUAGGAAUCGACUAUGAAUACCGAGCCUCUGUCGGCUCUUUGAUCUCUUCGGUUUCGAUCACGUGGUAUUCCGCCGUUACUUUGGUGCGUGAAAUCCUUUCACACUGUCACACUAUCACACACAACGUCUGCGGAAAAUUAUGAAUUAUUAUUUUCAAAUACAUGCAGUAAUUUUUUAAUAACUUUCAUUUUUUUAUAGUACUUUCAGCAAAAUGCCUGUGAUCACGUGAUACAAAGAUUACGCAUACAUGUGUGUAUGUGACACAUAUGUGUACAGUACAUUCAGUAUCACCUCUGUCUCUUUCUAUCACGUGCGAAAUAAUCACAAUGAGCAAUCUCAUUAGUACACAGAGUAUACGGGUGUAACAUUGCGCAUAAUGGUGUAACACGUAAUACGUGUAGUAUAACGUUAUCAUGUGAAUGACAAUGUUAGCAGAUCGUCGACACGACUAAAACGAUCACUUAAAAAAUGUAUCUAAAUGAAGUUGCAUGUGUUACUUUGGUAUCAAUAAUGUUAAUAGUUUUGCUCAUUGCAAUUUGAAAUAAAUUCUCAAUUAGUCAUCGUUGUAAAUCGUCGAUUGGCAAAGAGACAAAAUAUGUUAACAGUAUAUUCUGCUAGAUUGACAGCAAAUUUACUUAGAAUCCCACAACAAAAAAUCAUGAUUAUCUGUAUUCACAAUAUAUAAAGUUUGUGUCGACCGAGUCUACUGACACGAUUUCAUGACAACAGAAACCGAACAGAUUUUACCGGUAAACUGUGUGUACAACAGGCUUCGUUAGAUUUGUAGUGGCAGUUUGGUAAUAUAUUUAUAGUCAAUUUUUACAUUUAACUUUGUCUUAAAUGCAUGUUCAAAGAAUAUUUGGCCAAAGAAUGAUCCGUAUGGAUGUUACACAGAUCACAUUUUACUGGCCAAAUAUUUUAAGACGAUCUUUAAAUAUAAGAAUUGACUGUAAACAAGUCACUAGUGCAAGUAACCGAAUUCGCUCUAAUGUAAGACUCCGUUAAGAAUCUGCUUGUGCAGGUUUGGGACUUGUGAUUAAUUAUAAGCAUAAUAACAUGAUUGUUAUUAUUAUAUUUUGUAUUUCGCCAAUAAAAAACUUAUGGAAA